UACGUAGGUGUCGAGCGUUGUCCGGAUUUAUUGGGCGUAAAGCGCCCGCAGGCGGCUUGGCAAGUUCGAGGUGAAAUCUCCCGGCUCAACUGGGAGGGUGCCUCGGAAACUGCCAGGCUCGAGUUUGGGAGAGGGAUGCGGAAUUCCAGGUGUAGCGGUGAAAUGCGUAGAUAUCUGGAGGAACACCGGUGGCGAAGGCGGCAUCCUGGACCAACACUGACACUGAGGAGCGAAAGCCAGGGGAGCAAACGGG
rnacentral:rRNA from 1 species